AAGACUAUACUGUCAGGGAUCAUUUCUGUAGUUCGUUACUCGAGAAGUAUCUGUGAUCAUUUUUAGAGUGCCCGAAACUCCGAGGAUGAGGCAGGGCAUCUUCCCCUGCAUAUGAAGAUGGUUCAAGAUGUUCCUUCUGCAACAGCAUUUUUCCAUUGAUGAUUGUUCUUCUCUUCACUUGGAAGAGGGAGAGGGAGAGGAUGCAGUUCAAGUGGC